UACGUAGGUGGCGAGCGUUGUCCGGAUUUACUGGGCGUAAAGAGCGCGCAGGCGGCUGGUCAAGUCCGAUGUGAAAGCUCCCGGCUUAACUGGGAAAUUGCAUCGGAAACUGAUCGGCUGGAAGGUGGGAGAGGGUAGCGGAAUUCCCGGUGUAGUGGUGAAAUGCGUAGAUAUCAGGAGGAACACCGGUGGCGAGGGCGGGUCUCUGGGCAGUAACUGACGCUGAGGAGCGAAAGCGUGGGGAGCGAACAGG
rnacentral:rRNA from 1 species